rnacentral:rRNA from 1 species
UUUCGCAAUGCCCGAAAGGGUGACGAAGCGACGCCGCGUGAGUGAGGAAGGCCUUCGGGUUGUAAAGCUCUGUCAGGAGUUAAGAAAUAUAAGUGUGUUAAUACCACAUUUAUUUGACGAAGGCUCCAAAGGAAGCCACGGCUAACUCUGUGCCAGCAGCCGCGGUAAUACAGAGGUGGCAAGCGUUGUUCGGAAUUAUUGGGCGUAAAGAGCACGUAGGUGGGUUUGUAAGUCAGAUGUGAGAGCCUUCUGUUCAACGGAAGAAUUGCAUCUGAAUCUGCGAGUCUUGAGUGUAGGAGGGGAGAAUGGAACUUCUGGUGGAGCGGUGAAAUGCGUAGAUAUCAGAAGGAACGCCGGCGGCGAAAGCGAUUCUCUGGCCUAUUACUGACACUCGGUGUGCGAAAGCUAGGGGAGCAAACGGGAUUAGAUACCCCGGUAGUCCUAGCUGUAAACGAUGGGCACUAAGUAGAGGGGUUUUA